AGAGGCCAUGUGACGUGAAGGAGUGUCAGAGAAAAAAAAAGACCAAUGUGUCCUGGCAAACACAGCUCUGGAAACCCUCUGGCUGCUCGCUUGCGUUCCAGUCUUCCCUAGAAACAAUCCAAAAGCAGAAGGAAGAGACAAGCCAAUGGCUAAUGUGUUUUAAAGUGAGGCUUUUCUAGUCAAGUUCUUCAACACCACAUAUUCUCCCAAGGUCUAGACUGCCAUGCUUCGUUUAUCUGUCCAGGUCUUGGCCACCAGGAAUACAGAAGCAAUUAAGAUACGUGGAGUCCUGUCCUGCCUGUGGGGCCUUGGCCUCCCACGUUAGCAAGCAGCCUCCUGCCUCUGUGUGAGACCACCAGUGGGCCCGUGCACCGGUCCUUUCCUGUUCUUUCUCAGUGUCCGGGGGGGACAACCCUCCGUAUCAACUUUCACCUUAAUAAUCAAUUGCAUUCAAGAGUAUUCUGAGAACUGCCCCAGAGCUUUCAAGGGAGUUCUGGCCACAGAAAGAUUGGAGCCAGCUGCUCUGGGCACAGUCUUCCUGACCCACACCUGCAGGUUCCAGAAUGCUUCUCUGAUACAGUGACUGUUCCACCAUGACUGUGUGUUUCUGACAGUGAAGAGACUUGGGGACAGAGACCAAAUGGUGGCUUACUGUCUUGUCUUUUAAUUCUUAAUGAAUAAUGGAUGUCAUAGGAAGAAGAAUUUUGAAAUGUU
rnacentral:lncRNA from 1 species